rnacentral:rRNA from 1 species
GUAUAGAGGGUGAACUCUGCCCAAUGGUUGUACAGUGAAACUAAGGACUAACGUCUAAAGCGAAACCCAACUAAAUGGCCGCGGUAACUCUGACCGUGAUAAUGUAGCACAAUAAAUAGCCAAUUAAUUGUUGGCGGGCAUGAAUGGAAUCACGAGGGUCUUACUGUCUCAAGAGGAAAGCCGAUGAAAUUAUAAUUGUAGUGAAGAUACUACAUAAACAUUGUAAGACGAAAAGACCCUAUCGAGCUUUACUGGAUACUGAUAGCGUUAACUUAAAAUAAUUGGUACUAAGUACCCUAAUUUUGAGUUAAUAAUUUUUGUUGGUAAGACAGUUUAGUUGGGGCGACUACCUUUGAAUAAGAAACAAAGGCGAGCUUAUGGUUUACAAAAGCUAAAUCUCAUUAGCCUGACAGUGAGGGGGACAUCCCUAGCUGGCACAAGGACGUAGUCCUAUGUGGGCGAUAAUGACCCGAUAUGAUUGUUCAAAAUAAAAAAUAUCGAAAGCGGAUAAAAGCUACCGUAGGGAUAACAGCGUAAUAUUGUUGGAGAGUUCUUAUCGAGAACAGUGUUUGCGACCUCGAUGUUGAAUUGCGGUGCCCCGGUGCUGUAGAAGGUGCCUCAGGUUGGUC